rnacentral:rRNA from 1 species
AUACGGAGGGUGCGAGCGUUGUUCGGAAUUAUUGGGCGUAAAGAGCAUGUAGGCGGUCUGUUAAGUCUGGUGUGAAAGCCCGGGGCUCAACCCCGGAAGUGCAUUGGAUACUGGCAGACUUGAGUAUGGGAGAGGAAAGCGGAAUUCCGAGUGUAGGAGUGAAAUCCGUAGAUAUUCGGAGGAACACCAGUGGCGAAGGCGGCUUUCUGGACCAAUACUGACGCUGAGAUGCGAAAGCGUGGGGAGCGAACAGGAUUAGAAACCCGAGUAGUCC